ACCAAGGCAACGAUCAGUAGGGGUUCUGAGAGGAAGGUCCCCCACAUUGGAACUGAGACACGGUCCAAACUCCUACGGGAGGCAGCAGUGAGGAAUAUUGGUCAAUGGACGAGAGUCUGAACCAGCCAAGUAGCGUGCAGGAAGACGGCCCUAUGGGUUGUAAACUGCUUUUAUAAGGGAAUAAAGUGAGAGUCGUGACUCUUUUUGCAUGUACCUUAUGAAUAAGGACCGGCUAAUUCCGUGCCAGCAGCCGCGGUAAUACGGAAGGUCCGGGCGUUAUCCGGAUUUAUUGGGUUUAAAGGGAGCGUAGGCCGGAGAUUAAGCGUGUUGUGAAAUGUAGACGCUUAACGUCUGCACAGCAGCGCGAACUGGUUUCCUUGAGUACGCACAAAGUGGGCGGAAUUCGUGGUGUAGCGGUGAAAUGCUUAGAUAUCACGAAGAACUCCGAUUGCGAAGGCAGCUCACUGGAGCGCAACUGACGCUGAAGCUCGAAAGUGCGGGUAUCGAACAGGAUUAGAUACCCUGGUAGUCCGCACGGUAAACGAUGGAUGCCCGCUGUUGGUCUGAAUAGGUCAGCGGCCAAGCGAAAGCAUUAAGCGUCCCACCUGGGGAGUACGCCGGCAACGGUGAAACUCAAAGGAAUUGACGGGGGCCCGCACAAGCGGAGGAACAUGUGGUUUAAUUCGAUGAUACGCGAGGAACCUUACCCGGGCUUGAAUUGCAGAGGAAGGAUUUGGAGACAAUGACGCCCUUCGGGGCCUCUGUGAAGGUGCUGCAUGGUUGUCGUCAGCUCGUGCCGUGAGGUGUCGGCUUAAGUGCCAUAACGAGCGCAACCCCUCUCCUUAGUUGCCAUCAGGUUAAGCUGGGCACUCUGGGGACACUGCCACCGUAAGGUGUGAGGAAGGUGGGGAUGACGUCAAAUCAGCACGGCCCUUACGUCCGGGGCUACACACGUGUUACAAUGGCAGGUACAGAGAGACGGUCCCUUGCAAAACGGAUCAAAUCCUUAAAGCCUGUCUCAGUUCGGACUGGGGUCUGCAACCCGACCCCACGAAGCUGGAUUCGCUAGUAAUCGCGCAUCAGCCAUGGCGCGGUGAAUACGUUCCCGGGCCUUGUACACACCGCCCGUCAAGCCAUGAAAGCCGGGGGCGCCUAAAGUCCGUGACCGUAAGGAGCGGCCUAGGGCGAAACUGGUAAUUGGGGCUAAGUCGUAACAAGGUA
rnacentral:rRNA from 1 species